rnacentral:rRNA from 1 species
ACCAGACGUCGAGCGGCGAACGGGUGAGUAACGCGUGGGAAUUUGCCUAGUAGUGGGGGAUAGCCCGGAGAAAUCCGGAUUAAUACCGCAUAAUCUCUACGGAGUAAAGGUGGCCUCUCCUUGGAAGCUAUCGCUACUAGAUAAGCCCGCGUCAGAUUAGCUUGUUGGUGAGGUAAAGGCUCACCAAGGCGACGAUCUGUAGCUGGUCUGAGAGGAUGAUCAGCCACACUGGAACUGAGACACGGUCCAGACUCCUACGGGAGGCAGCAGUGGGGAAUAUUGCACAAUGGGGGAAACCCUGAUGCAGCAAUGCCGCGUGAGUGAAGAAGGCCUUAGGGUUGUAAAACUCUUUCACCCGUGAAGAUGAUGACUGUAGCGGGAGAAGAAGCUCCGGCUAACUCCGUGCCAGCAGCCGCGGUAAUACGGAGGGGGCUAGCGUUGCUCGGAAUUACUGGGCGUAAAGCGCGCGUAGGCGGCGAAUCCAGUCAGGCGUGAAAGCCCAGGGCUUAACCCUGGAAUUGCGUUUGAUACUGAUUUGCUAGAAUUCGAGAGAGGGUAGUGGAAUUUCCAGUGUAGAGGUGAAAUUCGUAGAUAUUGGAAAGAACACCAGUGGCGAAGGCGGCUACCUGGCUCGAUAUUGACGCUGAGGUGCGAAAGCGUGGGGAGCGAACAGGAUUAGAUACCCUGGUAGUCCACGCCGUAAACGAUGAGUGCUAGUUGUCGGGCAGCUUGCUGUUCGGUGACGCAGCUAACGCGUUAAGCACUCCGCCUGGGGAGUACGGUCGCAAGAUUAAAACUCAAAGGAAUUGACGGGGGCCCGCACAAGUGGUGGAGCAUGUGGUUUAAUUCGAAGCAACGCGAAGAACCUUACCAGCCCUUGACAUACCUGUCGCGAUUUCCAGAGAUGGAUUUCUUCGGUUCGGCCGGACAGGAUACAGGUGCUGCAUGGCUGUCGUCAGCUCGUGUCGUGAGAUGUUGGGUUAAGUCCCGCAACGAGCGCAACCCUCGCUAUCAGUUGCCAGCAUUUAGUUGGGCACUCUGAUGGAACUGCCGGUGAUAAGCCGGAGGAAGGUGGGGAUGACGUCAAGUCCUCAUGGCCCUUACGGGCUGGGCUACACACGUGCUACAAUGGCGGAUACAGUGGGUUGCGACCUCGCAAGAGGAAGCUAAUCCCUAAAAGCCGUCUCAGUUCGGAUUGUUCUCUGCAACUCGAGAGCAUGAAGUUGGAAUCGCUAGUAAUCGUGGAUCAGCGUGCCACGGUGAAUACGUUCUCGGGCCUUGUACACACCGCCCGUCACACCAUGGGAGUUGGUUUUACCCGAAGGCAGUGCGCUAACCGUUUCGAAGGAGCCAACCACGGUAAGAUCAGCGACUGGGGUGAAGUCGUAACAAGGUAACC